UUUACUAGACAUUAACAUUAUUGGUUAAAAAAGAAAAAAAACAUUAUUGCAUUGUUUUGCUUUAUUAUCUCCGUCCUUUUUGGUCUAGUGUCACAGGCAGUGUAGCCUAGUUGCUGCCUGUCCAUUGAGCAGGAAAAGAAAACAAAAGCCAAUACAAAACUGGUAACUUUGUAAUAAAAAAGACCUUUGGUGGACCCCACGACGAUCCUUUGCAAGGUAAAGAAAUUCCCAUGCUCCCUGUCAUUUCUUCUUUCCGAAACGAUCGUCCCUGCUCCCUACGCGUCGCCCCCACCCUAUAACCACCCGCAGUUCGACACGUAACCCCACGCACAAAACCCCUCCUUCUGGUUCUGUUACACGUCGCUUUCUCUGCGGGCCUGUAAAACCUCAGACAGUAAGUCUGCGGCUGCGGCGCGUCACUGUCGGCUUCCGCAGCUUGCUUUCGUCGCGCAGGUUGCUGUCGGCUGCUCCUUUUUUAUUUUUUUAACUGUAAUGGGAGAAGAGAGGGCCAAGACCAAACCGAACCUUUUCAAAUGUUAUACCUCGAGUUGGUUUUGGGAAACGGUGAAGUGAUCCUAGCCGUUUGUCGGUAAGGUUUUGUUCGGAAAGUGUUCGAGGUUUAAUUUCCGGGUUUUAACUUUAGCCUUAAGCAGUACCUCUGGCGCUCUGAUCAUUGGUUCUGGCUUCGGCAGUUGUGUUAUUUUCAUGCGAAUUGCGAAGCCGUACGGCUCCUGUUAAAA
rnacentral:lncRNA from 1 species